rnacentral:rRNA from 1 species
AGCGAACGCUGGCGGCAGGCUUAACACAUGCAAGUCGAGCGGGCACUUCGGUGUCAGCGGCAGACGGGAGAGUAACACGUGGGAACGUACCCUUUUGUUCGGUAUAACGCGGGGAAACUAGCGCUAAUACCGGAUACGCCCUUUUGGGGAAAGUCUUCCUGCCGAAGGAUCGGCCCGCGUCUGAUUAGCUAGUUGGUGGGGUAAUGGCCUACCAAGGCGACGAUCAGUAGCUGGUCUGAGAGGAUGAUCAGCCACACUGGGACUGAGACACGGCCCAGACUCCUACGGGAGGCAGCAGUGGGGAAUAUUGGACAAUGGGCGCAAGCCUGAUCCAGCCAUGCCGCGUGAGUGAUGAAGGCCUUAGGGUUGUAAAGCUCUUUUGUCCGGGACGAUAAUGACGGUACCGGAAGAAUAAGCCCCGGCUAACUUCGUG